rnacentral:rRNA from 1 species
UACGUAGGGGGCUAGCGUUGUCCGGAAUCAUUGGGCGUAAAGCGCGUGUAGGCGGUUCGGUAAGUCCGCUGUGAAAGUCGGGGGCUCAACCCUCGAAUGCCGGUGGAUACUGUCGGACUAGAGUGCGGAAGAGGCGAGUGGAAUUCCUGGUGUAGCGGUGAAAUGCGCAGAUAUCAGGAGGAACACCAAUUGCGAAGGCAGCUCGCUGGGACGUUACUGACGCUGAGACGCGAAAGCGUGGGGAGCAAACAGG